rnacentral:rRNA from 1 species
AACGCGAAGAACCUUACCUGGGCUUGACAUGUUCCUGACCGGUGUGGAAACACACCUUCCCUUCGGGGCAGGAUCACAGGUGGUGCAUGGCUGUCGUCAGCUCGUGUCGUGAGAUGUUGGGUUAAGUCCCGCAACGAGCGCAACCCCCGUCGCAUGUUGCCAGCAUUUAGUUGGGGACUCAUGCGAGACUGCCGGUGACAAACCGGAGGAAGGUGGGGAUGACGUCAAGUCAUCAUGCCCCUUAUGUCCAGGGCUACACACGUGCUACAUUGGCGCGUACAGAGGGCUGCGAUACCGCGAGGUGGAGCGAAUCCCUUAAAGCGCGUCUCGGUUCGGAUUGCAGGCUGAAACUCGCCUGCAUGAAGGCGGAGUUGCUAGUAAUCGCGGAUCAGCACUGCCGCGGUGAAUACGUUCCCGGGCCUUGUACACACCGCUACAGU